UGAGAAUAUAGCUUAAUUGGAUAAAGCACUAUCCUGUCACGAUAGUUUAUGCGGGUUCAACUCCCGUUAUUCUCG
rnacentral:tRNA from 1 species